rnacentral:tRNA from 4 species
GGAGAGGUGGCCGAGUGGUUGAAGGCACCGGUCUUGAAAACCGGCAGGCGAUGAGCCUCGUGGGUUCGAAUCCCACCCUCUCCGCCA